UCGGUUACCGAAAACCUUGACCAUGACAAGUGUAUGAUAAUUGCAUAGUGUGAGUGCGUGCAUUUGUGUGUGCUCAGAGUGUAAGAAAAUUAUAUAAUUUGUUCCCAUAGAUUCUGGUUUUUUGCAGCUUUGAAUAAUAAUAUAUAUACCAGACAUCAAAAAAGCACAGAGCUUUAGGAAUCUUAAAAUAUUAAGAAUGAAUAGCAUCGUGUCGAAGGCUCCUUAAAACACCUCAAACAGCGCGAGCACGCUUAUUUGGAUUAAGAGUACACAAUUUCGGGAUUUGAAUAGCAAGCGAGUUGAUGAAUAGCAACGGGAUUGGGAAAUAAGAUUUCAGAGUUCAAAAUGUUGAACUAUGGGAUGGUGCUAUCUUUAGCUGUAUAGGGAUACGUGCGCAUGGCCGACUAACUGAAGAGCAAAUGACUAUUCGAUGCAUUGGCAACCUGCGGCCAGGUAGCGCGAGGCCAAAUUGCUACCACAGAGACCCAUGUCAAUGGCGACCUGAGACCUGAGACCUGCGCUCUGCACCCCGCGCCCUGAACUCUGACCCAAGGCUCAGAUGCAUUGUUUGAGAAACGCUUCGCAUUUUCAAUAUAUAGGUAUUGUCAGUAUUAUGAUGGAUUUUCUGCACAUGCCAGAGUUAGGGUCCUAUUUGGCUCUAGAUUUUCCCACGGUUACAGAAGCGCGCUAAACCUGCAGCCAUCACCUGUGUCCUUUCACGUUGAGGAUACCUGCAAUUCUCGGAUAGACCGUGACCAUUUGCAGCGCUUAAGGCAACCAAAAGAAGGUAAAUACUUAUAUUUAAUUUUUUCAAAUAUUUCCAGACAUCUCACGCGCGCGUUUCAUGCUCUCUAUGCUUCUUGCUCCGUCUGAUUCAAUUUUCAUACACUGAAGCCCCUGAACUUAGGAUCUUAAGAUCUUAGGAUAUAUUGAUUUAUUUUUCUACUCAUGCACGAAGGGGAAUUCAGUAUAUUCGAUGUCCGUCUCGAUCCCCCAUUAGGAGCGUGAAAAUGGAUGUGCAACUAACUUGGUUUUUAAUAUAUCUAAAUAAGAAGGCGCGGUGGACUCUAAAACUGAGAUGUAUAUCUGAAGAUAUAUGUCGGGCCCUGGGUAUCUCUUAGUUGGGCAAUCACAAUUACUUUACGUUAGACUUUUUGCGACUUUUUCCAUGUUGACUGGAGCAGUCUUUCUAAAGAAAAAAAAAAAAAAACAAGAGAAGGCAA
rnacentral:sRNA from 1 species